CAUGAGCAAUUUUGUUCCAAUGAGAAUGAAGACUGAGUUUUUUUUUCCUCUAACAUUUUGGACAUCUUUGCUUAAUGGAGGGAAAUAAGUGAUAUUAUGUCUGUGAAGCUAGGAGUUUUCAGUUUUUUAGCCCACACUCAAACGAAAAAUAGCUAGAAACAUCAUAUCUUAUCUCCAUAGGCACCUUCCUCUUAGGAAAAUGGGGGGAAAAACCAGCAGCACACUGGAUUACAGAAUGUUAUGGUGGAUACCUAGCUUGAUGACUGUCUUUGUAAGAACCUGGGCACAGGAGUAGGAGAGUAGCCAACAUUUAUCACUUGGGAAAUUACUGCAAGGUGAAACAGGAAGCUGCCUGGUAUGGCUGAUCAAAAAUAACAUCAGGACCUUAACUCUGUCUUGAGCUCUUGGUGGAAUGGCAGUUACAGUCAGGAUCAUGCAUCCAUUCAGACUGCAAAAGGUGCAGCCCAGAUGCUCGAACUGCCUCUGCGGUGGAUGUUUGCAACACUGGGACACGUGCAAUAUUUUGGAUACCAGUUGUCUUGAGUGCUCUAGUCAGAAGUGUACUAAUCUCUGAUAUAUCAUUUAAAUGCAUCCUGUACAGAGUUCUUGAGCGCCAUUGUAGAGAGGUGACCUAAGUUAUUGAAAUACUUGCUGGAAAUCCCUAGAGAUUAUUUAAUAGACAUAUAGUAACAUCACCAUGAUGUGAAUGGAGGUAUGUAGUUACCAUUAAUAAUAAUGAUCAUUGUAUCCUGUAAGCUAAUGGAAACUUUUUGAAUCAUCUCUGAGGAAUUAGCACCCUAUCUCAUAAUGUUCUAUAUUAUAAAGCUACCCCCAAUGUUAUUUCAACCUAUUAUCAAACUCAAAUGAAGUCCACUAUAAAUAUCUUCUGUACAACAUAUUUCUGGGUAUGACAUGCAAAUUGUGUGCGUCCUCUGGGUAGUCAUGAAGGGGGAGUACUAUGUGCAGUAUAUCUCAGAUGCAAGGCCCAACAGAAAUUUUCUUGUGAACAAAACGUGGAGCAAACAAAAAUACCUGUGAUGUCCUCACAUGCAAACUAUCAUUCUUUCAAAAGAGAGCACUUUCUUGCUUUGGUAAUGAGAAUAACAAAAUAGGUGUUAAUGAAG